CAAAUACUGGACUCAGGAAGUAUAAAUAAGCGACUCGACGUUUCUAAGCGCACACAUCAAUCUUCAAUCUACACGAUGAAGUCGCAGAACGUGUCGUUCAAUCGAAAUUAAGGUUGGUAAACAUAGAAAAGUCAUGGAAGAAAACAGGAAC